CUGAGAGAUGUAUUUUUCAAAUGAAUUCAUACUUAGGAUAUUGAUAACAUGUUUCCUACCCUUUCAUCAGUCUGAAUCCAGCUUUUCCACUGGUGGCUGCUUUGUGACUGGAAGAAAACAAAUGGAAUCUGACAGAAGAUUCCAGUUGAUUCCUUCAAUUUUCAUCAGAAACAAGUAAAAAGGGAAGAGCCAGCUUCACUGCGAGCCUGGCUAAAAACUAUUGUUGAAGCAAGACCUUCCCAGCAGCAAUUACUCAGCACAACAGACAUGUUUUUACUCACAACUGAAGAUCCACCAACCCUGCCCCAAGGGGAGAAUAGCUACUGCACCUGUCAGCACACAAAUACGUUUGCCAGGCCUCCACACACUUGCUAUGCAGUGCUGCAGCUUCCCUCCUAUCACUGGAAGAGAUGCCUCUCAGUCACAGUCCUCGCCUGAACCCCUACAGCCUACAGUCCCAGCACUUUCCCACCAUAUCCAAGUUGAAGCA